CUUCCUCAUCACUGCUGCCAUUUCAGUUAUCUGGUCGACAUGUGCUUGUAAUUCCUGGAAUGAAGAGUUGGGAGUUACAAACUAAGAGAGAGGAAGGGAGGGAGAGAAAUAUUGAUCGGCUGGCUCCUGCAUGCCUCUUGCAAGCCCCCCACCAAGGAGCUGCUUAUCAAUCUUAGAGAGAGGGGAAAGGAGGAAGAAAAAGAGUGAGAAAAACAUCAAUGUGAGAGAGAAACAUUGGUCAGGUGCCUUUUCUAUGUGCCCCAACAGGAGGCUGAACCCACAACCCAGAAGCUAUUUGGAUGAUUCAGAAGGCCACAGCUAUGGACAACUGGUGAUUGGCAGCUUCGUUAUGACAAUGUGCGUACUCAUGUACCAUGUCUUAUGUGGUUAUUUUUGAAACAUCAAAUCGCCCCAGUGAUUCAGCUCCCCCUACAGCCCAGAUUUGGCACCCUGAAACUUCUGGCUUUUCCCAAAACUAGAUUCACCUUUGAAAGGCAAGAGAUUUCAGACCAUCAAUAAUAUUCAGGAAAAUACAACAGGGCAGCUGAUAGUGACUGGGAGAACUGUGUGAGGUCCCAAGGUGCUUACUAGGAAGGGGACAGAGGCAUCACUGUCCUAUGCAUAGUGUUUCUUUUCUUUUUUGAAUAAAUUUUAUUGCUGUUCAAGUACAGUUUUCUAUUUCUUCUAUCUUUUUUAUUUUUUUAUAUCUUAUAUCUUGUAUCUUCUUCAGUAAAUGUCUAUUUUUCAUAUCACAUGGCUGGACAGCCUCUGGACAGACCUGGUCUGUUCACUGGUAUGCAUGGGGCAGCUGCAGCGUUAGCGAGGCAUGUAAUCUGUUUAGGGCAACAGAGUUGCAAAACAAACUAAGUAAACUUGUUCCAUUAUUUUCAGUAGCUCUGAUAGAAGUAUUAUCCCAGGUUGCUUUCUUUGACAAAAUGCCUGGUUUCAUAAGAGUGGGCCAUGAAUAUACGCCACCCUUGACUGAUUUCCAUGAUAGUCAUUAGAGAGAGAUUUUACAAUUCUCUUAGAGUUGAAAUUGUUUUUUUAUCAGAAGAGGGCUUAAAUUUUAGCUAAACGCCACAGCCCUCUGGGAAGUCCUUAUAUACUACACCAAGGAGAACAAGGAAUAAAGCCCUUUUCACUUUUUUAAAGUGGCAGCAUUAAAUGUAAAAUAAGGUAGCGAGUACAAAUGCAGUAACUGCACAAACUGGAAACUAGUUAUUGCCCUGUGUUAUUUUUAAAAAUUUAUUGUUAAAUAACUUCACUUAAGUACCUUUAUACAGAAUAUAAACAUUUCUACAUUAU